UACGAAGGGUCCAAGCGUUGUUCGGAAUCAUUGGGCGUAAAGCGCGCGCAGGCGGAUCAGCAAGUCAGGUGUGAAAUCUCGGGGCUCAACCCCGAAACUGCGCCUGAAACUGCUAGUCUAGAAUAUCGGAGGGGGCAGGGGAAUUUCACGUGUAGGGGUAAAAUCCGUAGAGAUGUGAAGGAACACCGGGGGCGAAGGCGCCUGCCUGGACGAUUAUUGACGCUGAGGCGCGAAAGCGUGGGGAGCAAACAGG
rnacentral:rRNA from 1 species